AAAGCAGACGCAGAGCUACAAAAUGGGGUCUCAACACGCGUUUUCAAAUUUGAAACUUCAAACUUGAAACGGCGUUCAUGACGCUCGAUAUGCGACACAACUGCAGGAGUGUCUCUCUUACAAAUAAUUACUUGAACCGAACCCCCCAAAUAAGUAUGCCUUUUUAUUAUUUUUAUUAUUUAUUUAUUGCAAAAGAUAUGUUUCAGCAAACAUAAAAGUUACAAGUGUGUCUUGGCAGCACUUAAAAAAAAAAAAAAAAAAAAAAAAACAUAAAUAGACGCUAUUUAGAAAAAAUCGCGUUAAUCUGUGGUGGUAACCAUAGAAACAGUACGCUUCACUAUGAUGUGAUCAACGGCAAUAUCGUACGGAAUGUUAACAAAACACGACGAGAACUUAUAUCUCUUCACAAUUAUAUAUACAUUCAGAAAGUCUUUUAGAUAACCAUUUGCUUUGCUGAACUGUAUCAUAUUCCGCUUCGAACAUGUGAUAUUAUAGCCUACCGAAUCAGUGGCCUCAAUUUAAACCAAUAUAUCGGCGAAGUGUUACAACGGGACAGAAUGAUUGUGCGGGUCAGAGCAGAGGACACUGGUCUCUCAAAGGCUCCAGGACAAAGAUUUUUCAUGGUGUCCUUCUGCUACAGCAUUCAAACGCCACUGUAUUUGAAACAGCUGCUGCAAUCGAUGUCCAAACCAUCUGAAUUCUGCAUCAGAGACUAUCUGUCAUGCUGUAAUAAAUGCACUGUUGAUCAUCUUAAGUUUGAGACUCUUCUCCACGUGUUCGUCCUUUAGAGGCAGAAACUUUUUUCUUAUCAUCAUUUUAAGUGCCACAAACUUGAAUUUCUCUUAGAUCUGAUGGCAUGAAGCUUGCAAAUCAGAGACUAGAUCUUCUGAAGUGUUGUUUUAGCACCCUGGAAAUAAGUUGGAAUGAUAAAAACCAAUGCAGCCUGACUGCUACAGAUUGCUCAAGAUGGCCAAACAGGGCAUAACUUGGUGUAUUUUAUAAUUUUAAAUUAUAUUUAAAAAUUUUUAUAUCUAUAUACACACACACACACACACACACACAUAUACAAAUAUAUAUAUAUUUUCAGAUAUGGUGGCAUGAAGCUUGCAAAUGCCAUCAAAUUCAGAAACUUGCAUUUUUGUGUGCAAUAUGCAUUAACCAGUCAGUAAACGAACUGUCGGAUGUACUAUUUAAGUUUGUAGAUAAAGUUGUGUGUGUCUGAGACUUUAAGUCCCUUUAUGCUACUGACUUUUCCUGGCCUCUUUAAUUGGUUCGACACUCCCUUUGGCUCUGAAAGUUCUGACACUAAAUACAAUACAAGAGGAGGCCAGCUGAGAUGUUAAGAGAUUUCUGUGCUAAAAAGUAAUUACUCCCUUUUAAUUGCAGUAAUUUGUCCAGUUAAUUAGGAAUUUAGUUAAAGCAGUGUGUGAUUCAGAUGUAGCUGCUGUUUGUGAGGUUGUUAAGGUGUUGUGCUGUUUACCUUCAUGGUGAUUUGACAGGGUGACAAAGCCACAGUUGGACUUUACAGCUCUUCCGUUGCUACGGGAGACGUAUCUCUGGAUCUUCCAUGCCGUCAGAGCUGUUCGCACCAGCCCAUCCCCAUAAUCCGAAACAGAGAUGAAAAAUGUGUGUUUUAGAGCUCAGUACAAACACAUUCAAACUAUUUACCCACAUACAAACACUCAUUUGCAAACAGGCUGUCAAUGCUUAGUAGCUAACCACAAACCAGAUAAAAUCUCUUCCAUGGUGAGUUUUGAACAUGAUUUUUAAGCACCCCCCCACCCCCACCAUGUUAUUAUAGUAUUUAAAGCAUAUGAAUGUUAAAAAAAAAAAAGCCUAAAAGAUGCAUUGGACCAAUAUUUUGGCUUCGCCCACUAUGUGAAUAUUUCAACUAGCUCUUGGUGUGAACAAACCUUAAAUAAAGUGAAUUCACAAAAAAUAUGACCA
ensembl:lncRNA